rnacentral:lncRNA from 1 species
CUGGAAAUCACAUUAAUCAAUCACAGCUCGGGGGCCGGAAAAAUCCUGAAACUCAUGAAAGUCAGCAUAAUAUUCUCCACAAUAACAAUUCCAUAAAGAACAUCUCAAGUGAACAAACAGGCAGGAAAGCAACUAACCCGGACACUAGUGAUUUCUUUCCAACUGGAGAGAGAUCUCAGAUACCCAAGGAGUCAAAAAAGAACUCCUGGUCAACUCAAGCUAACGAAUCUGAAAACCAGAAAGAUAGACGACAAAAUGGACAAGAUGAUCAAGAUGGCAGUAUUAUCAACUACAAAUGGCAACUAUGUAAUGUUACAGCUGGUCAGGACUACAUACCAUGUCUGGAUAAUGAGAAAGCAAUCGCAAAGUUACGGAGCAGGACACAUUACGAGCAUCGUGAAAGGCAUUGCCCAGAGGAUGCCCCUACUUGUCUUGUUCCACU